rnacentral:lncRNA from 1 species
AUGCAGACUUGAAAUACACAGGCAGAAAUAAACUCUUACACCUCUACAUUUGGAGCAUUUCGCUUUCAGAAGCUAACUUCUGUGUUCACCUGAAAAUGCAAGAAUAUUACACAGGUUCUUUUUAAUGCUCUAAAUCAAUCUUCAUGAAAUCUUACUCUUGGUUCAGAAACACAUAAGAUUCUUAGUUUGAUUACAAUAGUCUUUUGCUAACAUUUCGACACCAGGCCUUGGAACAAAAGGUUCCCUGUUCUCUGAUGGAAAACAACAAAACUGAGACAAGAUCUUGUCAAAUGAGAAAUGUACUACCUGUUGCCAGGACAAUUUGUUUUUCUUCUUCAAGCAACAACAUGCUCCAAUCUCUAGUUUGAAACCAUAACUAGAAAAUGUGCAUGUGUUGCGUAUGUUCCUAAACUUCCAAAAACAGAUCAAAAAAGACCCAAAUUUUAUGUUAUCCUGAACACUUUACAGCUGCUACUCCUAGAAUUCCAUUACCUCUGCCACAUCACACAGAACUCAUCCAUAUAUGAAGGUUGCUUUCAACUGAAUGUUCUGAGUAAUACCAGACCUUCAACAAUAACAUAGUUGUUGACAGAAAGGAACGAGAGCAUGUAAAGAAAGCAUUUUAAAUGACUGUGCCUGAGAAUAUGUGGUA